GGCGGACGGGUGAGUAAUGUAUAGGAACUUGCCUAAUAUGGGGGGACAACUACCGGAAACGGUAGCUAAUACCGCAUACGCUCUACGGAGGAAAGUGGGGGGCUCUUCGGACCUCACGCUAUUAGAUAGGCCUAUAUUGGAUUAGCUAGUUGGUAAGGUAAUGGCUUACCAAGGCGACGAUCCAUAGCUGGUUUGAGAGAAUGAUCAGCCACACUGGGACUGAGACACGGCCCAG
rnacentral:rRNA from 1 species